rnacentral:snRNA from 1 species
AUACUUUAGCAGCACAUAUACUAAAAGUGGAAUGACACAGAGAAGAUUAGCAUAGUUCCUGUGCAAAGAUAUUGCAAAUUUGUGAAAUUUCUCAGAAGAGA